rnacentral:piRNA from 1 species
UAUCAACAUGGUUUUUCCAGU